rnacentral:lncRNA from 1 species
AAUUUGGAAAGGGGUCUGCGGUCUAAAAAUGGGCCGCCGGCCGCUCGGGCACCUGAAGGGACAGAAGCGGGCGCAGGAGCCCCAACAAGCCACGGCGGAGCGGGACGGUCCGUCCAGCGGCGGCCUCCGCAUGGCCCCACCGUGAGCGGCUGGACCCAGCGACUGGGAGCCAGAGCGAAGCUUCAUCCACACACCAGGUCAACAGUACUGACUGGACCCCCACCUCAGACCAUACGCUGGAGAAGGGUGAUUCAACAGACGUCAGGGUGGGCGUGGCGUGAGCCGCACCUCAAGACAGGUGCCGUCAGGGCGGAGGAGAAGCCCAAGGAAGAAAGGGGGGGGGCACCUGGACCACAGCUGGCCUGAAACGUGGGCUGACAGCUGGCCUUUCCUCAAGGGCACUGGGACUCCUGGC